GGGCUCGUAGAUCAGGGGAAGAUCGCGUCGUUCGCAACGACGAGGCCGCGGGUUCAAAUCCCGCCGGGUCCA
rnacentral:tRNA from 1 species